rnacentral:rRNA from 1 species
UACGUAGGUGGCAAGCGUUGUCCGGAUUUACUGGGCGUAAAGGGCGCGUAGGCGGCCUUCUAAGUCGAACGUGAAAUCCCCGGGCUCAACCCGGGAACUGCGUCCGAUACUGGAAGGCUUGAAUCCGGGAGAGGGAUGUGGAAUUCCAGAUGUAGCGGUGAAAUGCGUAGAUAUCUGGAGGAACACCGGUGGCGAAGGCGACAUCCUGGACCGGUAUUGACGCUGAGUGAGCGAAAGCCAGGGGAGCAAACGGG